rnacentral:tRNA from 1 species
GGGGUUAUAGCUCAGUUGGCUAGAGCGCUACAUUGACAUUGUAGAGGUCUCAGGUUCAAGUCCUGAUAACCCCACCA